UCAUAAAAAAAAUGACACGGCAAUGGGAUGUUUUGAACAGGGAACCCCGUGAGAAUCGGGGACGGGCCCGCCGCUGUAAUCCGUUUUUUCCAUAAUUAAAGGGAAAGCCACUUCAGCUGUGUAUGCCACUGCCUUAUUGUAUUGGAUUUGUUUUCAGCUUGAUUUUAAACCGUAAUUUUCAAUGAUUUACAAAAUCAUUGAUAUGGAAAAUUAUAGCUUAAAAGCCUGCUUUGUAAAAACAGAUGCAAUCCCGGGUGGGAAGGCUGCUGAAAGGGUAAGGAGAGUCAGAAGACCUGCCUGAACAAUAGAUGAAUC
rnacentral:ncRNA from 2 species